rnacentral:rRNA from 1 species
CUAAUACAUGCCAAGUCGAGCGGACAGAUGGGAGCUUGCUCCCUGAUGUUAGCGGCGGACGGGUGAGUAACACGUGGGUAACCUGCCUGUAAGACUGGGAUAACUCCGGGAAACCGGGGCUAAUACCGGAUGCUUGUUUGAACCGCAUGGUUCAAACAUAAAAGGUGGCUUCGGCUACCACUUACAGAUGGACCCGCGGCGCAUUAGCUAGUUGGUGAGGUAAUGGCUCACCAAGGCGACGAUGCGUAGCCGACCUGAGAGGGUGAUCGGCCACACUGGGACUGAGACACGGCCCAGACUCCUACGGGAGGCAGCAGUAGGGAAUCUUCCGCAAUGGACGAAAGUCUGACGGAGCAACGCCGCGUGAGUGAUGAAGGUUUUCGGAUCGUAAAGCUCUGUUGUUAGGGAAGAACAAGUACCGUUCGAAUAGGGCGGUACCUUGACGGUACCUAACCAGAAAGCCACGGCUAACUACGUGCCAGCAGCCGCGGUAAUACGUAGGUGGCAAGCGUUGUCCGGAAUUAUUGGGCGUAAAGGGCUCGCAGGCGGUUUCUUAAGUCUGAUGUGAAAGCCCCCGGCUCAACCGGGGAGGGUCAUUGGAAACUGGGGAACUUGAGUGCAGAAGAGGAGAGUGGAAUUCCACGUGUAGCGGUGAAAUGCGUAGAGAUGUGGAGGAACACCAGUGGCGAAGGCGACUCUCUGGUCUGUAACUGACGCUGAGGAGCGAAAGCGUGGGGAGCGAACAGGAUUAGAUACCCUGGUAGUCCACGCCGUAAACGAUGAGUGCUAAGUGUUAGGGGGUUUCCGCCCCUUAGUGCUGCAGCUAACGCAUUAAGCACUCCGCCUGGGGAGUACGGUCGCAAGACUGAAACUCAAAGGAAUUGACGGGGGCCCGCACAAGCGGUGGAGCAUGUGGUUUAAUUCGAAGCAACGCGAAGAACCUUACCAGGUCUUGACAUCCUCUGACAAUCCUAGAGAUAGGACGUCCCCUUCGGGGGCAGAGUGACAGGUGGUGCAUGGUUGUCGUCAGCUCGUGUCGUGAGAUGUUGGGUUAAGUCCCGCAACGAGCGCAACCCUUGAUCUUAGUUGCCAGCAUUCAGUUGGGCACUCUAAGGUGACUGCCGGUGACAAACCGGAGGAAGGUGGGGAUGACGUCAAAUCAUCAUGCCCCUUAUGACCUGGGCUACACACGUGCUACAAUGGACAGAACAAAGGGCAGCGAAACCGCGAGGUUAAGCCAAUCCCACAAAUCUGUUCUCAGUUCGGAUCGCAGUCUGCAACUCGACUGCGUGAAGCUGGAAUCGCUAGUAAUCGCGGAUCAGCAUGCCGCGGGUGAAUACGUUCCCGGGCCUUGUACACACCGCCCGUCACACCACGAGAGUUUGUAACACCCGAAGUCGGUGAGGUAACCUUUUAGGAGCCAGCCGCCGANGUGGGACAGAUGAU